rnacentral:rRNA from 1 species
AGUGAACGCUGGCGGCGUGCUUAACACAUGCAAGUCGAACGAGAACGGAUUAUAGCUUGCUAUGAUUGUCAGCUAAGUGGCGCACGGGUGAGUAAUAUAUAGGUAAUGUGCCCUAGAGAAGAGGAUAACAGUUGGAAACGACUGCUAAGACUCUAUAUGCCUUUAAGACAGAAGUCUGCAAGGGAAAUAUUUAUAGCUCUAGGAUCAGCCUGUACAGUAUCAGUUAGUUGGUGAGGUAAUGGCUCACCAAGACAAUGACACUUAACUGGUUUGAGAGGAUGAUCAGUCACACUGGAACUGAGACACGGUCCAGACUCCUACGGGAGGCAGCAGUGGGGAAUAUUGCACAAUGGACGAAAGUCUGAUGCAGCAACGCCGCGUGGAGGAUGACACAUUUCGGUGCGUAAAACUCCUUUUAUAUGGGAAGAUAAUGACGGUA